rnacentral:snoRNA from 1 species
GGUAGUCUGAGGAUGAACUAUUACGGAUGUAUACACAGACCUGUUCUGAGAGUGCAAAACCGUGCGGAGAUUUCCGUUGCCUUCCUUCUGACCUGACUAC